rnacentral:sRNA from 1 species
CGGGUUUACUCCUGGAUGUUACCGUUUCGCCCGGCCUAGGCCGGACGGCGUUUUGGUGUCUGAUUCGGUAAGAAUCGGGAGCACCAUCUGCGUAGGGUGGAAGAUCGCUCUUCUGGUUUGAGGCUUGCGCCCCCUACGGUCUUGGAUAGCCCCCGCCAGGCAGGGACCCCAAUUUUUUCGCGGCAGACGCACCAAGUGCGCCU